UACAGAGGUCUCGAGCGUUGUUCGGAUUCAUUGGGCGUAAAGGGUGCGUAGGCGGUGCACUAAGUUUGGUGUGAAAUCCUGGGGCUUAACCCCAGAAUUGCACUGAAUACUGGUGUGCUGGAGGACUGGAGAGGAGAUUGGAAUUCACGGUGUAGCAGUGAAAUGCGUAGAUAUCGUGAGGAAGACCAGUGGCGAAGGCGAAUCUCUGGACAGAUCCUGACGCUGAGGCACGAAGGCCAGGGGAGCAAACGGG
rnacentral:rRNA from 1 species